AUUGAACGCUGGCGGCAUGCCUUACACAUGCAAGUCGAACGGCAGCACGGACUUCGGUCUGGUGGCGAGUGGCGAACGGGUGAGUAAUGUAUCGGAACGUACCUUUCAGUGGGGGAUAACGUAGCGAAAGUUACGCUAAUACCGCAUAUUCUGUGAGCAGGAAAGCAGGGGAUCGAAAGACCUUGCGCUGAUUGAGCGGCCGAUAUCAGAUUAGCUAGUUGGUGGGGUAAAGGCCUACCAAGGCGACGAUCUGUAGCGGGUCUGAGAGGAUGAUCCGCCACACGGAACCUAGGCACGGUCCCAGCUCCUACGGGGAGGAGGCGGUGGGAAUUUUUGGCAAUGGGGGUAACCCUGAUCCAGCCAUGCCGCGUGAGUGAAGAAGGCCUUCGGGUUGUAAAGCUCUUUCGGCCGGGAAGAAAUCGCAUAGGCUAAUACCCUGUGUGGAUGACGGUACCGGAAUAAGAAGCACCGGCUAACUACGUG
rnacentral:rRNA from 1 species